CCAUGUUUCCUUAUUUUGCAUAUACUGUUUUUUUUUAAAAGCAAAAGCUGAGAUUUUAAAACAAAAGCUGAGAUUCUUGUGAAAUAGAUUUUAGAAUGAAAUGUGACACAAAUUAGGCCAAGGCAUUGGACAACCAUAAAAUUGGAAGUGUUGUUAAAACUCUGGGGUUGAAGAAGUUAACGCCAACACAUGAGGGGGGGGGAUAUUCAGUGGAUGGGUAUGGGUUUUUUUUUUUAAGUGUAUGGAGGGGGGCAAGAAGAUGUUUAGUGAGGCAGAUACUAGUUCAGGUAAUAUAUUGGUCCAAAGGUUAGAAGAGGCAAAUUCGUAAUAUUAUAGCGGAUCUUUCUUGGCUCAGAAAUGUACAGUAUUUGGGUUAACACAGAACACUUAAGCAAGCUAGAAAUGUGUGUGUAGAGUAUGACCUUUGUUUUGCAGUUCCACAGUUAAACCCAUUGAGGCUUUUUUCCUGGCUAAAAUGGGGGCCCCUCCCUGCAUCACUAGAAGAGUUGCGUGUAGAAUUCUGUAGCUGAUGAUAAGGGAUUAAGCUCAGGAGUGAAUAUAAUUGGAUUAAUUAAGACUCGGAAGCAGGAAGAAAUAAAAACUUUGCACCCUGAAACCCAGCACAUGGGAAGUCACACAAAAUGUACAGUUGGCUUUAUAACUGAUAUAUAUUUGAAUAUGAAUUGUAAUUUGACACUGAAAAAAUGUGGCCGUUACUGGAUUUUAGUAAUUGAAAAUUAAUAAAAAUUAUUUAC